UACGUAGGUGGCAAGCGUUGUCCGGAUUUAUUGGGUUUAAAGGGUGCGUAGGCGGUCUAUUAAGUCAGUUGUGAAAUAUGGCAGCUCAACUGUCAAGGUGCCAUUGAUACUGCGGAGCUUGAGUACAGAUGAGGUAGGCGGAAUUGACGGUGUAGCGGUGAAAUGCUUAGAUAUCGUCAAGAACACCUAUAGCGAAGGCAGCUUACUAGGCUGUAACUGACGCUGAGGCACGAAAGUGUGGGGAUCAAACAGG
rnacentral:rRNA from 1 species